rnacentral:rRNA from 1 species
UACGUAGGGACCAAGCGUUGUUCGGAUUUACUGGGCGUAAAGGGCGCGUAGGCGGUUCGGUAAGUCGGGUGUGAAAACUCUGGGCUCAACCCAGAGCCGCCACCUGAUACUGCUGUGACUCGAGUGCGGUAGGGGAGCGGGGAAUUCCUGGUGUAGCGGUGAAAUGCGCAGAUAUCAGGAGGAACACCAGUGGCGAAGGCGCCGCUCUGGGCCGUGACUGACGCUGAGGAGCGAAAGCGUGGGUAGCAAACAGG